UGGAUCCAGACUUUGAUCCUGGCUCAGGAUGAACGCUAGCUACAGGCUUAACACAUGCAAGUCGAGGGGAAACGAUAGAGAAAGCUUGCUUUUUCUAGGCGUCGACCGGCGCACGGGUGAGUAACGCGUAUCCAACCUGCCCAUCACUUGGGGAUAACCUUGCGAAAGUAAGACUAAUACCCAAUGAUAUCUCUAGAAGACAUCUGAAGGAGAUUAAAGAUUUAUCGGUGAUGGAUGGGGAUGCGUCUGAUUAGCUUGUUGGCGGGGUAACGGCCCACCAAGGCGACGAUCAGUAGGGGUUCUGAGAGGAAGGUCCCCCACAUUGGAACUGAGACACGGUCCAAACUCCUACGGGAGGCAGCAGUGAGGAAUAUUGGUCAAUGGACGAGAGUCUGAACCAGCCAAGUAGCGUGCAGGAUGACGGCCCUAUGGGUUGUAAACUGCUUUUAUAAGGGAAUAAAGUGAGCCUCGUGAGGCUUUUUGCAUGUACCUUAUGAAUAAGGACCGGCUAAUUCCGUGCCAGCAGCCGCGGUAAUACGGAAGGUCCGGGCGUUAUCCGGAUUUAUUGGGUUUAAAGGGAGCGUAGGCCGGAGAUUAAGCGUGUUGUGAAAUGUAGAUGCUCAACAUCUGCACUGCAGCGCGAACUGUUUUCCUUGAGUAUGCACAAAGUGGGCGGAAUUCGUGGUGUAGCGGUGAAAUGCUUAGAUAUCACGAAGAACUCCGAUUGCGAAGGCAGCUCACUGGAGCGCAACUGACGCUGAAGCUCGAAAGUGCGGGUAUCGAACAGGAUUAGAUACCCUGGUAGUCCGCACGGUAAACGAUGGAUGCCCGCUGUUGGUCUGAAUAGGUCAGCGGCCAAGCGAAAGCAUUAAGCAUCCCACCUGGGGAGUACGCCGGCAACGGUGCAACUCAAAUGAAUUGACGGA
rnacentral:rRNA from 1 species